rnacentral:rRNA from 1 species
AGGUUAAGCUACAAAGAGCACACGGAGGAUGCCUAGGCGCCAGGAGCCGACGAAGGACGUGGCGAACAACGAUAAGGCCUCGGGGAGCUGUAAGCAAGCUUU